rnacentral:lncRNA from 1 species
GCUCUGAGCAAAGCAGAAACUCGAAGCAGACGCUGCUCCCCAAAAACAGUGCCCCAAAAGAUGCUGGGGCAGGCGCCAUGGGCAAGGCUGUCUCCUUCUGGCCAUGCCAUCCUGCUGCUGGUGCUCUCAGCCAGCCUGACCUGCCAGAACAUCUGCAGCUCCCCAGGUAUUCGUGAGUCCUUCCCUCCCAGACCCAGGGCACUUGGAAGCCCAACCACUGUGAGCUCUGCCCUAUGGCAGCCCUUCACUGCUGUGUCUCCUCCAGGGGAUCUCCUGGCUCCUACUCUCCAAAUGAACUCAAGUUCUGCUCAGCCAGGUACCACAGUUGUACUCCACUGUAUUCUCCCUGUGGUGUCACCCGUAAUACGAAUCAUCAUCUGCAAGGAUGGGAAGGAGCAGUACAGCCAGGAAGCCCAUCAAGGGCAGCUGAGCUACUCCCUGGUCCUGAACAUCACAUCAAGAAGUGCAGGAAGAUAUACUUGCGGGUACCAGCAGAGGAAUGAGAUGAAACAGAGGAGGAGCUCUGCCCUCAGUGCUGGCCAAAUCCUGGAUGUCCCCGGUGAGACAUGUCUCUGGGGCUGGAGGGGUGAGAAGGGACGGAGGCACUUGCCACCACAUGGCUGUGCUGAGGCUGGAGCUGUGUGCUUCAGCAGGCUCUGGGGUGGUUCCCUCACGGGAGUGUUCCCUCUCCUCCAAGGCAGCCCCUAGAGAGAGAGAGAGCAGCUCCCAAUGGGUCCCCAUGUCCAUGCAGCACCACCUCUGCUCCAGACAUGGAGUAUGGGGCAUGCUUCAACAUCUUCCCUGUGCAUUGAUGAGCCUAUGGCAGGAGAAAAGUGGAGAUUGUCAUAAGCUGGGCAGUUACAUAUGUGUGAAGAAGAAGUCUACAUUUAUGGCUCUUAAAAUGGGCCUGGAGCUCUUGGGUGAGAACAGGGAGAUACUGGAGUUCUUAGGUAUUUGGAGUCCUCUGUGUGGAACAUCAAACCAGCUGAAAGGGACAUGGUAUUGAACCAAGGGAGAAGACCACAGGGGUGCUGGACUGAGACGUAGGGGUGACAAGGUGCCUGUCUGGCAAGGACACAGCAGUGAGGACAUGGCAAGGACCCAGCAGCAGGGAUAUGGGCACAAGCGUGUGGGUGCCCCAGCUCUCACUCCCUCUAAACAAAGUCCUCUGUGCCCCAAGGUGCAGCUGCUGGCGUGACCACCCAGGACAUCGGCAGCUCCCCAGGUGAGGUUGAGCGUGGGGAUGGGUGACUGAAGAGAGGUGUGUGUGGGGUGGUGAUGGCAAGGGAGAGGGAAUUUGUUCUCUGGGCGAGAGCUCC